rnacentral:misc_RNA from 1 species
UGUACACACCGCCCGUCACGUCACGAAAGUCGGUAACGCCCGAAGCCGGUGGCCCAACCCCUUGUGGGAGGGAGCCGUCGAAGGCGGGAUCGGCGAUUGGGACGAAGUCGUAACAAGGUAGCCGUACCGGAAGGUGCGGCUGGAUCACCUCCUUUCUAAGGAGCACUGGCCGCCGUCUUCGUGAUGGUGGUCCAGAGCCGUGCGCGGAUCGGGAAGACUCGCCAGUCUCGGUGGGUCUCGGAUGUUCGCGACGGAGCUCGAGGGUGGAACGCUGACCAAUUCGGCCGGUGACCUGGUGUCGCUGCUAGUACGGCCUCUCGGGGUCUGGAACGUGGUGGGAGUGGGUUGGCGGUUGUAGGCACGCUGUUGGGUCCUGAGGGAGCGGGCCGGCCCCGGUGAGGGGUUGGGUUGUUGUCUCUGGAGGGCUUCAUGCUCGUCGUACCGCUCGGUCUGGUUCUUCGGAGCCGGAGCGGGGUCUGGCGGUGGGGGAUGUGGGGCGACUCUCCGUACUUUGAGAACUGCACAGUGGACGCGAGCAUCUAUAUUUUUUUGUAGGCAUGUAACUGGAUAUUCGCGCUGAUCCACCAACUGUUUGGGUCUGGUUCCCGUUUCGCGGGGGUUGGGCCCUUGUUUGUUGCUGGGUGGGCGUGGGUGUUUGUGUGGCCAAGUUGUUAAGGGCGCACGGUGGAUGCC